rnacentral:rRNA from 1 species
UACGUAGGGGGCAAGCGUUGUCCGGAUUUAUUGGGCGUAAAGAGCGUGUAGGCGGCCAUACAGGUCAGCUGUGAAAACUCGAGGCUCAACCUCGAGACGUCGGUUGAAACCGUAUGGCUAGAGUCCGGAAGAGGAGAGUGGAAUUCCCGGUGUAGCGGUGAAAUGCGUAGAGAUCGUGAGGAAGACCAGUGGCGAAGGCGGGUCUCUGGACAGUUCCUGACACUGAGGCACGAAGGCCAGGGGAGCAAACGGG